rnacentral:sRNA from 1 species
UUCUUCGUGAUAAAAGUAACAGUAAAAAA